GAGAUACGAGGGACCCGGGUCUUAGAGGGGCCUGACGGUGGGGAGCACUUCCGAGAACCCUGUCGCUGAUCUGAGCCGUUCCCUUUCUACGGAGACGUCCGUGGAAGAGAAAUUUCGAAAAAAGGUUCCGGCCGGAACACAAAAAAGUCUAAGGCAGAAAACCGCCGGGACUCUGAAAGAUGGGUUCGGGGCGAUCUAAGUCUCCACCACCAGACUGCAGCAUUACAAAAUUAAUGAGACGUAAAUAUGGUGAUGAGUGCGUGUCAUGUCUUCACGACUGGACAAAACAUUAUGGGUUUCAAGAAGGUGGAUCACUCAGUGUGAAGGACAUACGCGCUUUAAAAGAAAAAUUAGAAGAAAAGGAGAAACAGCUCCGCAAAAGUAGAACGAUCAAAGUUAAAACCUUAGAGGAAAUUGAAUUAAACAAAAGAUGCCUUGAAAUUUGGGUUAAAGAAUCAGAACGCAGGGAAAGAUUAAAAUGCCAAAAAGAACUAGGAGGGAGAAAGGACAAGAGUGGUGACGUAGCUGGCAGAAAAGAUAACAACUCUGUGGAAGCUUGCACACCGCCACCAUACACACAUACACCACACACACACAUAUCAUGUCAAGAUCAAAUGCUCCCAUUGUUUCUGCUCUCUAUUCUAAUGCAGAACUGAGCGUAAUGAGGGUAAAUCCGGAUCUGGACUCCUUUCCCACCGUCAGCAGAAGAACCGAAGGAGAAGAAGCGCCAACCAACAACCAGAACAGGGUGGAAGCUCUGAUACCACAGCAGCUGGAGGACACAGACCACAGCAUGGACGCCUCACUGACCCCACAACGUCUGCAGCCAUCACGUUCUGGGCUCAUCAGAUGAACCAGCUACUACAAGCGUGUGUGUCUGACACAGACACCUGCUUAUGACAAUCAGCAAAGGAAAACAAGGACAGAGCAACAGCAGAGAAGACGUGCUCUGACACAGACACUGGUUUAAACAACAGGAGAGGCUUCAGACGUGAUCGGCCCAAAAGAGCUGCAUCUGAGGAUCCAGGAAACGUCUGUCAUCGAGGAACAACUGUCCCAUCUACGUCAGGCUUCACCCACUGGCGCUCACAUCAGACUGAUGGUUGGGGAAGGAGGAAGGUGACGGUUCCUUUUCACGUGACGUACAAGACGGUACCGCAAACACACACACACACACACACACACACACACACACACACACAUUCAUACACGCAAUGAAGAAACACGCUUACAGCUGAUACACGCUCAAAUUCAUGUUCAUGCUUAUCUGCUCGCAAUGAAGAAUCGCUUUUUGCUCAAAAAAAAAAAAAAAAAAAACCCACAGAGUGAUUUUACAAUGAUGACAAACAGCUAAAUGACAACUGCUGCAUGACUUUACAGUCUGAUGGGUUCAAACUAUUUUAACUUGCAACAAAUUCAGUAAUAAAAUCCUUCAUGUUUCUAAAAAUACUUGUGCACAAUAUAGGUUUGUCUGGCCAGACGGUAGAAAAACAAAACAGACUGUAGAAAAAACAAAACAGACUAUAGGAAGACUGAGACUGACUGAAACAGACUAUUAAUGACUAUUAAAGGGAAGACGACUAUUAGAGAGAAGUAAUAAUAAUUACUGUACGUACCAGACUAUUAAAGAAAACUUAUUUUUUCACUGUCUUGUGCAACAUCUGCAGCAAGACACCUUAACAUUCAUUUUUGCUUUCAAACUUGUGCCCAGUUAAAUUUUUAGGAAGAGAUCUCAUGUAGUUUAGGUAUUUGAUUGAUUUCCACUCCAGACGGAGUGCAGGUCACGUCUACAGACAUUCUAAAUAAUCCCUCUUUUGUUGGUGUUAACUUCAGCUCAGCUGUGCUCUUAUCAUUGGCUGCUGAGGGGGGGCUGUAACUGAGGCCCUCACACAGGCUGCAUCACAGCUUGUUUAUGAUUUCACACACACACACUCAAACUGACCUCAACUUCCCUCUUUUGGGAUGAACACAGGUCUGCGCUUGCGAUUUCUUUUCCUAACGAACAAAAAGAUUCUUGAUUUUUAUUCUACAGUUCCACACGUCCCUCUGUGAAAACAUGAUGGAGACAGAUGCAGGAUGUGGGUCCUUUCGUGAACAGAUGUCAACGGGGUGGAGACUGGUGAACGACCUCUGACCCCAUGUGAUGUAUUCACCUACUUUGCAUACUUUAGAAAACUUUUUUUUAUUCUGCCCGUCAUGUGCAGCAAACAGUGACCUGGGUACCUCCACAUUCUAAUGACACACUACAUGUUUUUAUUUUCAUUUUUCAGAGGACGCUCUGACCCAACACUCAGCCUUACAGGAAGCCCUGCUUCCCUGUGGCUCACACACAGACAUGAUGUAGGUUUGAUCAGAGGAUGUGAACCAGUGGUCAUCACACCUAAAUCUGACCACAGACCAUGUAAACAACAACACCCUCUUAAAGGAGCCAAAGAUGGUGUUACUGCAGACACCACUAAGCUACUGAAACAUUGGAUGCUACAGGCCACAAAGAGAGCCUGUCUAAAUUACAGUUUGUUCAGACAAAGGUUAUUUUUCUGGGUCAUUGUAAUUACAGCUGAUGGCAAAUCCAUCUCACCCAACAGAGUUAAAGCAAUUUGAAACCUGCCUAAACCGUGCACGUAAAAACAGCUGAUGUCUUUUCUAGGUCUUUGUUCUUAUUGUAGGAACUUCAUUCCUAACUUUACCUUCUCUGAGGCCCCACUCAGGGUUCUGAUGCAGACAUCUUCAUCGUCCACUUCUUGUCUCACGUGUACGUCUGAGGCUGAACAACGUUCACCGACCUCAAGCUUGCUCUUCAGUCGGCUCCUACUUUGGGUCUUCCUGAUCUGACCCUACGCGACCUUUCACUCAAACAGUGGAUGAGAGAUCAGGUUGUACGACUUCUGUUCUUUUGUCCUCAUACUGUGUCUUUGAUUCUUUUGGAAUAGAUCCCACGUUCUACAGCCUGAUGGCUUAGAUGCAACACCACCUUGCUCAACAUGCUGAACAUUACUGUCAAGAUGCCGUCUUAAAGUCUGGCGUCUUAAAGACACUGCUCUGCUCAGGCUGCAGAGUUGAUCGCGUUGACUGAAGCUGGUAAACUAGCAGAAGGAGAGUCUGUUACCAUCUACAGACUCCACAGAUGCUUGUGACACUUUGGUUCUCUGUGGAAGCAUAGGAAGCUUUUGAAGUCUGAUUGCAAACCUAUCUUACAUCAUGAUAAGGUUCUGCUUUGCUGGAUGCUGUCCUGCUGCCUACAGCUAAUGCUGUUUGUAACUGUCCAACAUCAGUGACGACUUUGUUUCUGCCGACAUGCAGCUGCAGACGCUGCUGCGAAGGUCGCUGCCCAACAACCCCUCCCUCUCCUGAUCCUCAUUUCUCUCUCCAACUCUCUCUAUCCUUUCCAACUUUCUCUCCCUGUGCUUUAAACAUUUUGUACCUCACAGGAACCAGACUCUGGCUGACGAAUGGUUCCACCUGUAGCCAUGGAGUCUGGUUUGGGCCUGAUGGCAGCCGUGCCGCCCAAACACUUUUUCCCCACAAUUCAGAUUUCCCAACAGGUGAAAACAGGCGACAGGACCACAACACCAUCCAACCAGGGCACGGGCGAUCGUUAAGGAGUUCAGGAGGAAGCACUGGACCUCCAAACGAUGGCGAGGCCCCUUCCAGGUCCUUCUGACGACCCACACGGCUGUGAAGAUCACAGAAAGAGUGACUUGGAUCCACUCCAUCCAGGAAGGUCCCGGAUCCGACAGACGACCCUCCAUCUACACCACACGAGAAAACCACCACUGACGAAAAGAAUUAAGAAGGACGACCCUCGCUGUGCUCACACACGCACUGAGGCGAGGCUGCGUUGACCGUUCAGCUAAAGGUGUGAGCCAAGCGCCGCCUGAAGCUGCGCCGGUGAAUCACACUAUCAGACCAACAUCUACACACACGCUCCUGAGAAAACACACACACGAGCAGCCUUGAGUUGCCAACGCUGGACGACGUGUAGACUCUUCACAUCACGGGAGUGACAGUGACUCAGACGACAUUGGGAGGAAACCUGGCGGUGAUAAUGAAUCCCAAGUGUCUCUGUGAUCAGCUGAUCACAACCUGAAGAACUCCAACGAACUGGCAAUACAUCAACACACAGGUUGGAAACAAUCUAACGCUACUGUUCAACAGGAAGAAGCAGAUUGUUACGAGACAUCAAUUGUAACCAUGUUGUGUUAGACCUUAUUUUGUUACUCUGAUUAUUGACUUGGUGUUUAAUUUGCUCACAAUCACUUUAUUCACUGCUACAAUUAGUUUUUAUCUAUCUAUUAAGACAACACGAGCGGAAAUAUGCAUCAUCAUUCUGGUUAAAUCCCUGAAUCUCCUAUUCGCUCUAGACCCAAAUGUACAAUUAAAGAUCCGAAAGUAUGAAAUCUAUCUUAAGAUUAUAUGAAACAGAACCCCACCGGAAACCUAUGGCUAUCAUACAUUAAUUGUCUUUAUUACAUUACAAUUGAAUGGCCGUAGACACGUUGUUAGCAGAGAAAAAAGGCGGUUGUGUUAUGUUUGGAGAGGCAUGUUGUACUUACAUCCUGAAUAACACUGAUUCUAAUGGUAUUGUGGCGAAGGCGCUACACGGCCUUCAGAAUCUCAGCUAACUCUGGUAUAGGUUCUUUCCCUUGGAAUUGGCUAGAUGAAAUGUCUGGAAAAUUGAAAUCUGUUCUCAUGUCCACAGCUGUUUCCUUUAUCAUUGAGAUGGCUGUGAUUCUCUUGUUUGGUUUUUGCGUUAUCCCACUGGUUAGAGGUCUCAUCAUGCGUGCGACUUCAGCAACACUCGUAUGAGAUGACACAAUGCACUAUGUUCAAAAACCCCAACUCUAAUUUACUUAAUGACUUUGACGAUGGUCUUAGGCUAUCUGACCACAAAAUAUAAUAUGAUACAAAUAUGAUAAUGAGCUUAUUUUCUUCGCAUGCCAAUACAGAGGUUAUUCUUGUAUAACUAUCCACCAAAAACAGCUCCCAACCUUUUGUCCCUAAGUUACUUGCAUUUUAUGUGAAGGUGUAUUUUGAAUCUUGAUGAGUUAAUACCCUUAUUGUUUCAUUUGCAAGGAUCUUUUAUUAUUACAGAAUAUGAUGUUGACAAUUUUUAUUCCUUUAUGGUUUGAUUAAUGUGUAAUCAAAAGGGGGGAGUGUUAUGGGAAAAAUUGUCUCUUCCUUAUUUUUAUGUGUCUUCCUUAUUUCUAUGCAUUUCUAUGCAGUUAUUAUAUUAUUUAUGACUUAUGUUCUGCAAUUAAUAUCUUGUGUUUUGUCUUACUGUAUGCAUUUGACAUUUCACCUACAUUGUUCAAUGGUUGUCUCUGCCAGAAAGACUCUCAACUCUAGCUCCCAAACCCAAGGUCGGGGAGUUGUGUCUCUGUCUGUUGAGACUAGGUGCUCCUUUCUCACAGAUAGUUGGAUGUCAGCAAUGCAGGUGUGAGAAAGUAAAAAUCUUCACACGCACUGCGACAGGGAGAAGAUGGUGCAUGUAAUUUGAUUGGGUUGGAAAGACAUUCCACCCUAGUCGGACAGAGAAGCUAAAAGGCAGAAGCAACUUUAGGAUCGUGGGCUCUAUGCAACACACCUUCGUGGUGUGUGCAAUGAUCUCCCCAGCUGGUUUUUGGUUUGUUGAUGUGCACGAUCAACAUCCAUGCUUUUUAUUUGCUUUCCCCAUUAUUUUUAUUUUCUUUAUUAUUUCAAUAAAUUGCACAAAAGGACAA